CUUCAGGUGGUAGAGUAGUACGUCGAGUUUAAGACUCGGGAAAGCGAGUAAUUCGUCCUGAAGA
rnacentral:tRNA from 1 species